UGUUUGUUCUCUUUUCCUUCGUGUGGGUUGUUAUGCGAGGAGUGCAAGGCCAUGUGCUUUGUCGCAAUGAGUGAAGGGAGUAGGUGGCUGCAGGCUUCUUCGGGUGGUGGUCAUGGAGCUGGUUGUAGACUUGUUGAUGUGGCCUUGCAGACGCCAAUUACUAAAAGCUGGAACUUUGACGCAUCUUUUGGGAUUGCCGUGACUUGUUCCUUUCUUCUUUAGUUGCGGCAUUUGAUGGCAGCUUCAUUGAGUGAAGAGCCUUUUGAGGCACCGGUUCGAAGAUUGCAUGUGAAGCUUCUCCAGGCGAGCUUUGUUGCAGCAUUUACUCUCAGUGAUAACAAAGGUACCGUAAACGAGGCUUCUGGCAUUUGAGCAUGUUGGUGUGGGAUUUGAUGAGAGGACAGACUCAGAAGUGAAGCGA